rfam:Homo sapiens chromosome 19, GRCh38 reference primary assembly.
GCUGGGCAUGGUGGCGCGUGCCUGUAAUCCCAGCUACUAGGGGGGCUGAGGCAGGAGGAUCGCUUGAACCCAGGAGGUGGAGGUUGCAGUGAGCUGAGAUUGUACCAUUGCACUCCAGCCUGGGCAACAGAGCGAGAGUCUGUCUCAA